GGAAAGUGGCUACCCCUCAACAGGCUCAGGAGGUGCAUGCUGCUGUACGUGAUUGGCUGAAGAAAAAUGUUUCAUCUGAAGUCGCGUCGAAGACGCGCAUUAUAUACGGAGGUUCGGCAAAUGGAAGUAAUUGUGCAGAUCUUGCGAAGGAAGAAGAUAUUGAUGGAUUCCUUGUAGGUGGUGCUUCCUUGAAGGGCCCGGAGUUCGCCACCAUUGUCAAUUCUGCAACUGUGAAGAAAGUUGCAGCUUGAUCAUUCUAUUGAUGUCAAGGCCAUUGGAUGAAGUUUCUUGAAUAAAGAUCACCUUAGUUUUCUCUGUUCGAGCUCUCCGACUUGAUGCGUAAAUUCAAUUUUGUACUCUUUUAAUAUUUUAGUGGAAGAUCUUUUUCAAGCAUUUAGAGGGACAAUCAGACUUGCUUACUUUGUUUGGUCUGUGUUAUCUAUAUUUAAG
rnacentral:misc_RNA from 1 species